UACGUAGGGUCCGAGCGUUGUCCGGAAUUACUGGGCGUAAAGAGCUCGUAGGUGGUUUGUCGCGUUGUUCGUGAAAACUCACAGCUCAACUGUGGGCGUGCGGGCGAUACGGGCAGACGUUGAUGUACUGCAGGGGAGACUGGGAAAUUCCUGGGUGUAGCGGUGGAAUGCGCAGAUAUCAGGAGGAACACCGGUGGCGAAGGCGGGUCUCUGGGCAGUAACUGACGCUGAGGAGCGAAAGCGUGGGGAGCGAACAGG
rnacentral:rRNA from 1 species